rnacentral:siRNA from 1 species
UGGUUCUAAUAGCAACAUCUA